UAAAUACAACACCGAGAAGUAAAAUAGCUCUAAUACUAUCACUACAACAAAAAUGGUGUAUAGUGACACUUUUAAAUGUCGGUACAGAUAAAAAAAAGUGUUGCUGGCUAAAUUACCGACACUUUUAAAAAGUGUUGUUAUAUGUGGGGUCGCUAGGUAUAUAGUGAUGGUUAAAGAGUGUCGGUAUAAUAUGGAAAGAGUGAUGCUAAUUUA
rnacentral:lncRNA from 1 species